rnacentral:tRNA from 1 species
UGGGGUAUCGCCAAGCGGUAAGGCACCGGUUUUUGAUACCGGCAUUCCCUGGUUCGAAUCCAGGUACCCCAGC